rnacentral:tRNA from 1 species
GGGGGUAUAGCUCAGUUGGUAGAGCGCGUCGUUCGCAAUGACGAGGUCAGGGGUUCGAAUCCCCUUAUCUCCA